AGUGAACGCUGGCGGUAGGCCUAACACAUGCAAGUCGAACGGCAGCACAGUAAGAGCUUGCUCUUACUGGUGGCGAGUGGCGGACGGGUGAGGAAUACAUCGGAAUCUACUUUUUCGUGGGGGAUAACGUAGGGAAACUUACGCUAAUACCGCAUACUACCUACGGGUGAAAGCAGGGGAUCUUCGGACCUUUCGCGAUUGAAUGAGCCGAUGUCGGAUUAGCUAGUUGGCGGGGUAAAGGCCCACCAAGCCGACGAUCCGUAGCUGGUCUGAGAGGAUGAUCAGCCACACUGGAACUGAGACACGGUCCAGACUCCUACGGGAGGCAGCAGUGGGGAAUAUUGGACAAUGGGCGCAAGCCUGAUCCAGCCAUACCGCGUGGGUGAAGAAGGCCUUCGGGUUGUAAAGCCCUUUUGUUGGGAAAGAAAAGCAGCAGGUUAAUACCCCGCUGUUCUGACGGUACCCAAAGAAUAAGCACCGGCUAACUUCGUG
rnacentral:rRNA from 1 species